ACACACACACACACACACACACACACGACCCAACAUUAAAGUAUGCAUGAGUCUGUGCUCUAGUCUUAUUGUCCAGUGCCUCCUACUACUGUGAACUGCAUUAUACACUUUCUGUUUAUUCAGAAAUUAGCAUUGUUGUGGAGAUUAGUAUGAGGUUCUGUCUACUGUUUUAUCUCAACCUACAGUACACACAACUGUAUUGUAUUAUGGUCAUGGUGGCAUGUGAAGUGAGGAAGGUUAUCAUGAUAGGACAGGUUUAAUGUGUUGUGAUUAACAGUGAUUAUGGCUGGAAGACUCAGCAGUCACUGUGUUUAUCCUGGAGUCAAUUCAUAGGGUUAACCACACACACACACACACACACACACACACACACACACACACACACACACACACACACACACACACACACACACACACACACACACACACACAGAGUCAUCUCUCUCACUCCAUCCUUUUCUAGCUAUAAAACCAAUUAAUUUAUCUCCACAAACUGACUGUAUUACCUAAUAAUGACUUAUAUGACCUAAUAAUGAAUAAUGACUAAUAAUUACAUAUGAAAUCUCUUCUUUAUUAAUUAUUCUACAACAAAUGAUGGCAAAAAAAAGAAAUGGGUUUCUUCCACUUUUGAACCCAUUUUAUUUAGUAACAAAACACUUGCUGGGUUUACUGACAUCAUUUAUAUACUUUAAGUAAUUUAAACUCUAGAAGUGCUUUAAAGUCUAUAUCAUGCACAAGAAAAUAGUUAAAGGUAUGUUAGAAGUUUGAAACUCUUGGCGAAAUGCAGACUCUCAGCCGAGCUCACAUGCUGAGGUUCCCCAUGAUGACUCACUGUCAGGUUCAUAUAAAGUGACCCGGUGGAGCGGAUGCCAUGUUUUCUGCAGCAAGGAGCCGAAUCUGCCUGACAACACAUCUCACCAUGCUGCUGUACACACUGUAGACCAGAUAAGAUAUCUACCAUCACAUUUCUGCAAAGACUAGAGAACACGUCAACCCGAAGCUGCCAAAGGCGACUUUAAAAUCUCUCCAUCGGAAAUUAUGAAGGAGGUAUGCGGAGGAGGUGGGAGAAUGUUCUAGAAAUGUGCCCCUAGUGUGGCUCAGUUGGUCCUGAGGCUACCUGGAACUGCAUGUCAAUCAACUCUUCAGCUUUAAGCAGUGGAGGGUGGAGCCCAGGAGCGAGGAUGCUUUUCCAGAGGAUGAGAAGAGGAAGAACUAUGGAGGAGUGUACGUUGGAUUACCGGCUGACCUCAGCAAUGUAAAUACAGCCCCGACUCCGUCCACACAUAAAGAGUAAUGCUAAUAUCAUCACUCGCCCAUAUGCAGGGCAGUCUGAUCAUGACAAGUGGUGUGUCGUGAUAUCACUAAGAUAGACGAUCACUCCUUAUUGACUGAACAGGAGAGAAACUUUGAGGCAUUCAGUCGUCCCUCUGCCUUCUCACUGGACCAAACUGGGAUCAAGCUGGGUGACCAACUAAGAUACUGUAGGAUGAAGCUGAUUGAGAACAAGCACCGUUUUUACAGUGACUUAAGGUGAUGUGUCUCAGGGACAGAUCAGUAAGUGCGCUCCGAUCAGUGGCAUAAUAAACCUACACCAUCUCAGGACUUACAGCAGGUCGGAAAAGCAACACGUGCUAAUUUAGAAGUUUGGAGGACAUUAUGACCGUGACAAAACAGAACGUUCUGCCUACCUGGGAUGAGUAACUGUGAACUCAAGGACUCCAGCAUUAACAUUAUUCUUGCCACAGCUUUCUUCAGGUCUGUAAGUAGGACACUGCUGACUCACUUCAAAUUCACAGCACCUGGUCCACUUAGAGACUCUUGUGAAACUCUUGAUCAUGUGGGUUUAAAGGUCGAGAGAAAGAAAAAGGUUUAGAGUGCUCAGCUCUUUCUGCACUCUCAGUAUUAUGAUUAGACCUGUUUACAAUCAGGACUGGAACAUACAGACCCUCUCAGGUACUCAUCAAGCAUUACCAUUACUGAUAAAUCUUGGUGUCUGAUUUUUUAUUUUUUUUUGUUUUGAAAAUAUAGCUGGAGUCUGUUGUGAUUUACAAGAGCAAGCCAAAAUGCUAAUAAUCAAUAAAAUUUACAACUCACAUGGACUCCUUUCCGUGUGAGUUGUAGUUACAGCUCCCAUUUUCAUUUCAGCUGACCAUCCUUGUGAUGGGGCACGGUGGCUUAGUGGUUAGCACGUUUGCCUCACACCUCCAGGGUUGGGGGUUCCAUUCCCACCUCUGCCUUGUGUGUGUGGAGUUUGCAUGUUC